rnacentral:rRNA from 1 species
UACGUAGGGUGCGAGCGUUAAUCGGAAUUACUGGGCGUAAAGAGUGCGUAGGCGGUUCGUUAUGUCUGCUGUGAAAGCCCCGGGCUUAACCCGGGAAUGGCAGUGGAAACUGGCGGGCUUGAGUGUGGCAGAGGGGGGUGGAAUUCCGCGUGUAGCAGUGAAAUGCGUAGAGAUGCGGAGGAACACCGAUGGCGAAGGCAGCCCCCUGGGCUGACACUGACGCUCAGGCACGAAAGCGUGGGGAGCAAACAGG